UUGGAGCGGCCGAUAUCAGAUUAGGUAGUUGGUGGGGUAAAGGCUCACCAAGGCAACGAUCUGCAGCUGGUCUGAGAGGACGACCAGCCACACUGGGACUGAAACCCGGCCCCAACUCCCACCGGAGGGAGCCGUGGGGAAUUUUGGACAAUGGACGCCAGUCUGAUCCGACCAUUCCUGGUGGAAGAAGAAAGGCUUCGGGUUGGAAACUGCUUUCUCCCCGAACAAAAAAUCUCUCACUAACACUAGGAGUCCCUGACGGUACCUGCAGAAUAACCACCGGCUAACUACGUGCCAUCCGCCCCGGAUAUACAUAUGGUGCGAGCGUUAAUCCUAAUUGCGGGUCCUAAAGCGUGCGCAGGCGGCUAUCUAAUACACAUGUGAAACCCCCCGGCUCCUCCUGAGAACUGCUGUUGUGACUGAAUAGCUAAAGCGCUGCGGAGGGGGAUGGAAUUCCGCGAGUAGCAAUAACAUGCGCAGAUAUGCCGAUGAACUCCGAUUGCGCAGGCACUCCCCUGCGACUGCUCUGACACUCAUGCACAAUAGCGAGCGGAGCAAACCUGAUCAGAUACCCUGGAAA
rnacentral:rRNA from 1 species